rnacentral:rRNA from 1 species
CCUACGGGAGGCAGCAGUGAGGAAUAUUGGUCAAUGGGCGAGAGCCUGAACCAGCCAAGUCGCGUGAAGGAUGACGGUCCUAUGGGUUGUAAACUUCUUUUAUCUGGGAAUAAAGUGAGGUACGUGUUCCUCUUUGUAUGUACCCUAUGAAUAAGCAUCGGCUAACUCCGUGCCAGCAGCCGCGGUAAUACGGAGGAUGCGAGCGUUAUCCGGAUUUAUUGGGUUUAAAGGGUGCGUAGGUGGUUAAUUAAGUCAGCGGUGAAAGUUUGGGGCUCAACCAUAAAAUUGCCGUUGAAACUGGCUGACUUGAGUACAUGAGAGGUAGGCGGAAUGCGUGGUGUAGCGGUGAAAUGCAUAGAUAUCACGCAGAACUCCGAUUGCGAAGGCAGCUUACUAGACUACAACUGACACUGAUGCACGAAAGCGUGGGUAUCAAACAGGAUUAGAUACCCCAGUAGUC